GCUUACGGCCACACCGGCCUGAGUACGCCUGAUCUCGUCCGAUCUCGGAAGCUAAGCAGGGUCGGGCCUGGUUAGUACUUGGAUGGGAGACCGCCUGGGAAUCCAGGUGCUGUAAGCU
rnacentral:rRNA from 1 species